GGGCUUGACCAUGGCCGCAAAUCCUCUUAAAAGAAGAGGGGUGCCCUUCGGGAAACGCGGACACAGGUGGGUGCAUGGUUUGUCUUCAGCUCGUGUCGUGAGAUGUUGGGUUAAGUCCCGCAACGAGCGCAACCCUCGUUUUAUGUUGCCCAGCGCUAAAGGCGGGAACUCAUAGGAGACUGCCGGGGUCAACUCGGAGGAAGGUGGGGAUGACGUCAAAUCAUCAUGCCCCUUAUGUCUUGGGCUUCACGCAUGCUACAAUGGCCGGUACAAAGGGCUGCAAUACCGUAAGGUGGAGCGAAUCCCAAAAAGCCGGUCUCAGUUCGGAUUGAGGUCUGCAACUCGACCUCAUGAAGUCGGAGUCGCUAGUAAUCGCAGAUCAGCAACGCUGCGGUGAAUACGUUCCCGG
rnacentral:rRNA from 1 species